rnacentral:rRNA from 1 species
UUGACCUCAAAUCAGGUAGGACUACCCGCUGAACUUAAGCAUAUCAAUAAGCGGAGGAAAAGAAACUAACAAGGAUUCCCCUAGUAACUGCGAGUGAAGCGGGAAAAGCUCAAAUUUGAAAUCUGGCAGUUCUUGAACUGUCCGAGUUGUAAUCUAGAGAAGUGUUACCUGUGCUGGACCGUGUACAAGUCUCCUGGAAUGGAGCAUCACAGAGGGUGAGAAUCCCGUCUUUGACAYGGACUGCCUGUACGAUAUGGUGCGCUCUCGAAGAGUCGAGUUGUUUGGGAAUGCAGCUCAAAAUGGGUGGUAAAUGCCAUCUAAAGCUAAAUAUUGGCGAGAGACCGAUAGCGAACAAGUACCGUGAGGGAAAGAUGAAAAGAACUUUGGAAAGAGAGUUAAACAGUACGUGAAAUUGCUGAAAGGGAAACGCUUGAAGUCAGUCGCGUCGGCUAGAAAUCAGCCUUUGCUUUUGCUUGGUGUACUUUCUGGUUGAUGGGUCAGCAUCAAUUUUGACCAUCGGAUAAAGUCAUUGGGAAUGUGGCAUCUUAGGAUGUGUUAUAGCCCAUUGUCGCAUACGGUGGUUGGGAUUGAGGAACUCAGCAUGAGCGAGAUGACGCUCGUGCUUAGGAUGCUGGCAUAAUGGCUUUAAUCGACCCGUC